GCAUUCGUAGCUCAACGGAUAGAGCACCAGUUUGCGGAACUGGUGGUUGCAGGUUCGAUUCCUGCCGAGUGCA
rnacentral:tRNA from 3 species